GAUGAACGCUAGCGGCAGGCCUAAUACAUGCAAGUCGAACGGCAGCGGGUGUAGCAAUACAUGCCGGCGAGUGGCGCACGGGUGCGUAACGCGUAUGCAACCUACCCUUAACUGGGGGAUAGCCCGGAGAAAUUCGGAUUAAUACCCCAUAACAUAGUGAAAUGGCAUCAUUUUACUAUUAAAGCUCCGGCGGUUAUGGAUGGGCAUGCGUGACAUUAGUUUGUUGGUGAGGUAACGGCUCACCAAGACUACGAUGUCUAGGGGUUCUGAGAGGAUGAUCCCCCANACUGGUACUGAGACACGGACCAGACUCCUACGGGAGGCAGCAGUGAGGAAUAUUGGUCAAUGGAGGCAACUCUGAACCAGCCAUCCCGCGUGAAGGAUGAAUGCCCUAGUGGUUGUAAACUUCUUUUAUAUAGGAAUAACCGUAGUACGUGUACUUACCUGAAGGUACUAUAUGAAUAAGCAUCGGCUAACUCCGUGCCAGCAGCCG
rnacentral:rRNA from 1 species